CAUUAGUUUUACAAUAUUUUUCUUUGUGGACUCUUAGUCCGUUUUUGCAAGUGUUCAUGAAGAGUGCGGCGCGCGUGGAGAGGAGGUUGGCCCCGAGACGUGCGGCGCCUGGAAUCCUGCUGGAGGCGUAGAGGCUGUGGCGGCUAGGGCGUAUGGUGCUAGAGUUGCUGCUAUAUUUUAGUUAAUGGGCUAUUGGGGUUUGGGCUAAUUGUUUUUUAGGUUUAAUAUUAUUGGGCCUGUAAAACACUAGACUGUUUAUUUGGGUUUUUUGGUUUGGGUUCUGCAUGCAGGCCCGGGCUAAUUG
rnacentral:lncRNA from 1 species